rnacentral:rRNA from 1 species
GACGAACGCUGGCGGCGUGCCUAAUACAUGCAAGUUGAGCGAUGAAGCUUGGUGCUUGCACCAAUUUGAAGAGCAGCGAACGGGUGAGUAACGCGUGGGGAAUCUGCCUUUGAGCGGGGGACAACAUUUGGAAACGAAUGCUAAUACCGCAUAACAACUUUAAACAUAAGUUUUAAGUUUGAAAGAUGCAAUUGCAUCACUCAAAGAUGAUCCCGCGUUGUAUUAGCUAGUUGGUGAGGUAAAGGCUCACCAAGGCGAUGAUACAUAGCCGACCUGAGAGGGUGAUCGGCCACAUUGGGACUGAGACACGGCCCAAACUCCUACGGGAGGCAGCAGUAGGGAAUCUUCGGCAAUGGACGAAAGUCUGGCCGAGCAACGCCGCGUGAGUGAAGAAUGGUUUCGGAUCGUAAAACUCUGUUGGUAGAGAAGAACGUUGGUGAGAGUGGAAAGCUCAUCAAGUGACGGUAACUACCCAGAAAGGGACGGCUAACUACGUG